GAAUGGAUCUUAGAAGUCUGUGAAGUGCUGGUAGCUGGAGGUGUCUGAGCAGAUGGGCUCACUUAACGUGUGUAAAGAGCAUAAAAAUCAACAGCAGGAAUGAUUGCCCUUUGAAGCAAGCACGUCUUGACCUUGGACUGACAAAGGCGUACUCACUAAUAACUAAUAGCAUAUUCUUCUCAACCAAUCAGCCAGUCAACACUAACGACUCAGAGGUAAU